UAGCAUAGGUUAGAUUGAUAGCAAAUUUGAUAGUAAAUGUUACAAGUUGGUGAAUCAUUUGAUGAAUUAUUGUAGGUGUUUUGCGUUUUAUUUAUUGUUGUAAUUAUUUUUAUGUAAAAAAUUAACUUAUUUAUCGCUCAUAAUAUAUAUAUCUCUUUUUCCAUAAACUGUGAGGUCGACAACAAGUGGGACUGUUAUUUCUACUGAAAUGGUGUUGGGUUUGUAAAGUAUUUUAUAAUUCAAAUUCAGUUUCUCGGGAGAAUGUCAGUUUAUUAAAGUAAUUCAAACUAAUAAUGGAGUAUACUAGUAAUGUAACCAGUCCUCUCAAUGUGAAAGAAAGACUAAGCAGAAAAUGUUGAACAUUAUAUGCCUUUUUCUAUUAGAAACUGAGGCAACAACAAUUUGAUGCCAAACAUUAAAGGAAAAAUCUAUGACAAUGAGUUGGUAACUUUAUUCAGACACCAGGAGGUGACAACAUAGACGAUAAAGCUUUGGACAUCAUGUGCGGUUGGGCUUUGAUUGUAGCAGCCCUCAUUUCACUCUAGAAUGAGGUCCCUGAUUUUUUUGUUCAAAGAACAGAAAUACAAUAAAAGAACAUUGCAGAAGCUCUGGACAUCAUGUGCCUUUGGGAUUUGAUUGUAGCAGCCCUCUUUUCACUUUAGAAUGAGGUCCAUGAUUUUUUUCAUUGUAAUUAAUUAAGGUGAGAAUACAUAACAUAAUU